rnacentral:rRNA from 1 species
UGUGAGUACAGCGGCGGACGGGUGAGUAACGCGUAGGAAUCUACCUAGUAGUGGGGGACAACUCGGGGAAACUCGAGCUAAUACCGCAUACGCCCUACGGGGGAAAGGAGGGGAUCUUCGGACCUUUCGCUAUGAGAUGAGCCUGCGUUAGAUUAGCUAGUUGGUAGGGUAAAGGCCUACCAAGGCGACGAUCUAUAGCUGGUCUGAGAGGACGAUCAGCCACACUGGGACUGAGACACGGCCCAGACUCC